rnacentral:misc_RNA from 1 species
GAUGAAGAACGCAGCGAAAUGCGAUAAGUAAUGUGAAUUGCAGAAUUCAGUGAAUCAUCGAAUCUUUGAACGCAUCUUGCGCUCCUUGGUAUUCUGAGGAGCAUGCCUGUUUGAGUGCCAUUAAAUUCUCAACCGCACUGACUUUGAAUUGGUGUGGCUUGGAUUUGGGGGGAAAAUUGUUGUGGGCUUUUUUGUAUAGUCUGCUCCCCUGAAAUUGAUUAGCGGUACCUUUGUGGAACUGUCUACAGGUGUGAUAAUUAUCUACAUCCUAGACAUCUGCUGGAAUGCUGCUUUCUAAACCUUACUUGUAUUGACAAUCUUGACCUCAAAUCAGGUAGGACUACCCGCUGAACUUAAGCAUAUCAAUAAGCAGAGGA